rnacentral:rRNA from 1 species
CAAGCGUUNUCCGGAAUUAUUGGGCGUAAAGCGCGCGCAGGCGGAUAGGUCAGUCUNUCUUAAAAGUUCGGGGCUUAACCCCGUGAUGGGAUGGAAACUNCCAAUCUAGAGUAUCGGAGAGGAAAGUGGAAUUCCUAGUGUAGCGGUGAAAUGCGUAGAUAUUAGGAAGAACACCAGAGGCGAAGGCGACUUUCUGGACGAAAACUGACGCUGAGGCGCGAAAGCCAGGGGAGCGAACGGGAUUAGAUACCCCGGUAGUCCUGGCCGUAAACGAUGGGUACUAGGUGUAGGAGGUAUCGACCCCUUCUGUGCCGGAGUUAACGCAAUAAGUACCCCGCCUGGGGAGUACGACCGCAAGGUUGAAACUCAAAGGAAUUGACGGGGGCCCGCACAAGCGGUGGAGUAUGUGGUUUAAUUCGACGCAACGCGAAGAACCUUACCAGGUCUUGACAUUGAUGGACAGAACCAGAGAUGGUUCCUCUUCUUCGGAAGCCAGAAAACAGGUGUGCACGGUUGUCGUCAGCUCGUGUCGUGAGAUGUUGGGUUAGGUCCCGCAACGAGCGCAACCCCUAUCUUAUGUUGCCAGCGCGUAAUGGUGGGAACUCAUGAGAGACUGCCGCAGACAAUGCGGAGGAAGGCGGGGAUGACGUCAAAUCAUCAUGCCCCUUAUGACCUGGGCUACACACGUACUACAAUGGGAGUUAAUAGACGGAAGCGAGAUCGCGAGAUGGAGCAAACCCGAGAAACACUCUCUCAGUUCGGAUCGUAGGCUGCAACUCGCCUACGUGAAGUCGGAAUCGCUAGUAAUCGCAGGUCAGCAUACUGCGGUGAAUACGUUCCCGGGCCUUGUACACACCGC